rnacentral:rRNA from 1 species
UGGAGAGUUUGAUCCUGGCUCAGAUUGAACGCUGGCGGCAGGCCUAACACAUGCAAGUCGAGCGGUAGAGAGAAGCUUGCUUCUCUUGAGAGCGGCGGACGGGUGAGUAAUGCCUAGGAAUCUGCCUGGUAGUGGGGGAUAACGCUCGGAAACGGACGCUAAUACCGCAUACGUCCUACGGGAGAAAGCAGGGGACCUUCGGGCCUUGCGCUAUCAGAUGAGCCUAGGUCGGAUUAGCUAGUUGGUGAGGUAAUGGCUCACCAAGGCGACGAUCCGUAACUGGUCUGAGAGGAUGAUCAGUCACACUGGAACUGAGACACGGUCCAGACUCCUACGGGAGGCAGCAGUGGGGAAUAUUGGACAAUGGGCGAAAGCCUGAUCCAGCCAUGCCGCGUGUGUGAAGAAGGUCUUCGGAUUGUAAAGCACUUUAAGUUGGGAGGAAGGGCAUUAACCUAAUACGUUGGUGUCUUGACGUUACCGACAGAAUAAGCACCGGCUAACUCUGUGCCAGCAGCCGCGGUA